UUGAGACAACGUACAAACCUUAUCGAUAAACAAUUGGAGGGCAAGUCUGGUGCCAGCAGCCGCGGUAAUUCCAGCUCCAAUAGCGUAUAUUAACGUUGUUGCAGUUAAAAAGCUCGUAGUUGAAAUGAAGGGUAGUUGUGUAAUGAAUACAUUCGUGUAUUUUGUUAUUCUACUACCCUCCUUCUAAAUUCGAUAUAUGAGUAUUAAUUUACUUGUAUAUGGUUUUAGACUUUUACUGUGAGAAAAUUAGAGUGUUCAAAGCAGGCAUUUGCUUGAAUAUAUUAGCAUGGAAUAAUCAUGUAUGAUUUUCAUGAUGUAUUUGAUUGGUUUGGUUCAUGAGAAUAAGAUUAAAAGGGACAGUUGGGGGUAUUCAUAUUCAAUAGUCAGAGGUGAAAUUCUCGGAUUUAUGGAAGAUGAACAAGUGCGAAAGCAUUUACCAAGGAUGUUUUCAUUAAUCAAGAACGAAAGUUAGGGGAUCGAAGAGGAU
rnacentral:rRNA from 1 species